rnacentral:rRNA from 1 species
UACGAAGGGGGCUAGCGUUGCUCGGAAUUACUGGGCGUAAAGGGAGCGUAGGCGGACUGUUUAGUCAGAGGUGAAAGCCCAGGGCUCAACCUUGGAACUGCCUUUGAUACUGGGUAUCUCGAGUCCGGAAGAGGUGAGUGGAAUUCCGAGUGUAGAGGUGAAAUUCGUAGAUAUUCGGAGAAACAUCAGUGGCGAAAGCGGCUUCCUGGACCAGAACUGACGAUCAGGCACGAAAGCGUGGGGAGCAAACAGG